UUCCAUUAGCAUAGAAGCCAUACCGGAAGGAGUGGUGGAGCGAAUGGAAGUGAGAAUGCCGGCGUAAGUAACGAUAAGAGGUGAGAAUCCUCUUCACCAUUUGACUAAGGUUUCCUGGGCUAGGUUCGUCCACCCAGGGUCAGUCGGGACCUAAGACGAGGCCGAAAGGCGUAGCCGAUGGACAGCAGGUUAAUAUUCCUGAACCCGGUUGUGUGCGAUCGCAGUGACGAAAGCGGUUAGGUUUACCCACGAAUGGAAGUGUGGGGAGAUAGUGAUAAGCUGUCGGCUAGAAUCCGACACCAAGUGAAACACCGAAGUACGAAAGGGGUGACCUGAGUAGGAAGUAGCUGAUACCGAUUUCCAAGAAAAGCUGCUAGCUUAAGCACAAUCGGCCCGUACCGAGAACGGACACACGUGGUCAAGGAGAGUAUCCUAAGGUGAGCGAGAUAACUGUUGUUAAGGAACUCUGCAAAAUUACUUCGUAAGUUAGCGAGAAGAAGUGCUCCGUAAAAGGAGCCGCAGUGAAGAGGCCCAAGUAACUGUUUACCAAAAACACAGCUCUAUGCUAAGUCGUAAGACGAUGUAUAUGGGGUGAAGCCUGCCCGGUGCCGGAAGGUUAAUAGGAGAGGUGAAAGCUUUGAAUUGAAGCCCCGGUGAACGGCGGCCGUAACUAUAACGGUCCUAAGGUAGCGAAAUUCCUUGUCAGGUAAGUUCUGACGUGCACGAAUGGUUUAAUAAUUUGGGCGCUGUCUCGACAGCAGACUCGGUGAAAUCUUAAUACCGGUGAAGAUGCCGGUUACCCGCGACUAGACGGAAAGACCCCAUGGAGCUUUACUACAACUUAAUAUUGAGUAAUUGCAAAUCAUGUAGAGGAUAGGUGGGAGGCUAUGAAGUAAUGGCGCUAGCUAUUAUGGAGCCGCCCUUGGAAUACCACCCUUGAUUUACAGUUAUUCUAACUUCCUCCCUGGAUGGGAGGGAAGACAGUGUUAGGCGGGUAGUUUGGCUGGGGCGGCCGCCUCCCAAAUAGUAACGGAGGCGCCCUAAGGUACCCUCAGUAUGGUCGGAAAUCAUACGUAGAGCGCAAAUGCAUAAGGGUGCUUGACUGCGAGACACACAGGUCGAGCAGGUACGAAAGUAGGGAUUAGUGACCAGGCGGUUUCAUUGUGGAAUGGCCGUCGCUUAACGGAUAAAAGCUACCCUGGGGAUAACAGGCUGAUCGCGUCCAAGAGUUCACUUCGACGACGCGGUUUGGCACCUCGAUGUCGGCUCAUCACAUCCUGGAGGGGCAGUACCUUCCAAGGGUUAGGCUGUUCGCCUAUUAAAGUGGUACGCGAGCUGGGUUCAAAACGUCGUGAGACAGUUUGGUCCCUAUCUGUCGUGGGCGUAGGAAGUUUGAAAGGAUCUGACCCUAGUACGCAAGGACCAGGUUGGACGUAACUACGGUACACCGGUUGUUUCGCCAGAAGCAUAGCCGGGUAGCCGCUUACGGAUCGAAUAAACGCUGAAAGCAUCUAAGCGUGAAAUCGUCCUUAAGAUGAGACUUCCGAUUCUAACGAAUUAAGAUCCCUUCUAUGUUAGGAGGUUGAUAGGUCACAGAUGUACGCAUAGUGAUAUGUUUAGUCGAGUGAUACUAAUAGAUCGAUCACUUAUUU
rnacentral:rRNA from 1 species